UGAACUUGAACCUGAACUUGCUGAAGAAGC
rnacentral:piRNA from 1 species